UACGGAGGGUGCAAGCGUUAUCCGGAUUCACUGGGUUUAAAGGGUGCGUAGGCGGGCAGGUAAGUCCGUGGUGAAAUCUCUGAGCUUAACUCAGAAACUGCCAUGGAUACUAUUUGUCUUGAAUAUUGUGGAGGCAAGCGGAAUAUGUCAUGUAGCGGUGAAAUGCUUAGAUAUGACAUAGAACACCCAUUGCGAAGGCAGCUUGCUACACAAUGAUUGACGCUGAGGCACGAAAGCGUGGGGAGCAAACAGG
rnacentral:rRNA from 1 species